rnacentral:rRNA from 1 species
AUGGUAGCAUUCCGUGAUACCUUGGAGGUGUGUGGACUAAUUGAUCUCGGCUUUACCGGAAUCCCUUUCACUUAUGAUAAUAAACAUGGUGGACAAUCCAAUGUUCGUGUGAGGCUGGAUAGAGCUGUGGCAACAAACUCCUGGAGGAAUAUGUUCGCCUACGCUUCGGUCCAACAUGUGCCAUUGCCAUGUUCUGAUCACGUGGCGCUAGUUCUAAGGGGGAAACCUGAUCAGCAAAGGGUAGUUGGAGGGGGGCGGCGAUAUGAACUAUUCUGGGAGAGAGAUCGCUCACUACCAGAAGUUGUGAAGGUCGCGUGGGAUUCGAUUGGUGCUAUUGGCAACAUGGCAGACCUACAGCAAGCUCUAACGAAAACAAUGUCAGCUCUAAGGUCAUGGGGGAAGAAGUUUGGUAAUGUUACAAAGGAGCUUGCCAAGUCUCGGUCACACUUGGAGGAGUUGAUGAAUAUGAAUGCUGACAGGCAGGACAUUAGGAGUAUAACUGAUAAGAUGAAUGAGCUACUUUAUCAGGAGGAAAUGAUGUGGCUUCAGUGA